rnacentral:rRNA from 1 species
UACGUAGGGUGCAAGCGUUGUCCGGAAUUAUUGGGCGUAAAGAGCUCGUAGGCGGUUUGUCGCGUCUGCUGUGAAAACUCAGGGCUUAACCCUGAGCCUGCAGUGGGUACGGGCAGACUAGAGUGUGGUAGGGGAGAUCGGAAUUCCUGGUGUAGCGGUGGAAUGCGCAGAUAGUCAGGAGGAACACCGGUGGCGAAGGCGGAUCUCUGGGCCAGUAACUGACGCUGGAGGAGCGAAAGCAUGGGGAGCGAACAGGA